rnacentral:rRNA from 1 species
CCCCUAGAUGUCCUGGGCUGCACGCGCGCUACACUGACGAACUCAACGAGCUUAUCACCUUGGCAGAGAUGUCUGGGUAAUCUUUUGAAAGUUCGUCGUGCUGGGGAUAGAUGAUUGUAAUUAUUCGUCUUGAACGAGGAAUUCCUAGUAAGUGUGAGUCAUCAGCUCGCGCUGAUUACGUCCCUGCCCUUUGUACACACCGCCCGUCGCUCCUACCGAUUGAAUGGUCCGGUGAGGUUCUCGGAUUUUUUCUGUUGUUUGGUUCGCUAAACGAUUGAAGAGAGAAGUUACCCAAACCUUACCAUUUAGAGGAAGGAGAAGUCGUAACA